GACGAACGCUGGCGGCGUGCCUAAUACAUGCAAGUAGAACGCUGAAGAGAGGAGCUUGCUCUUCUUGGAAGAGUUGCGAACGGGUGAGUAGCGCGUAGGUAACCUGCCUUGUAGCGGGGGAUAACUAUUGGAAACGAUAGCUAAUACCGCAUAACAAUGGAUGACCCAUGUCAUUUAUUUGAAAGGGGCAACUGCUCCACUACAAGAUGGCCCUGCGUUGUAUUAGCUAGUAGGUGAGGUAACGGCCCACCUAGGCGACGAUACAUAGCCGACCUGAGAGGGUGAUCGGCAACACUGGGACUGAGACACGGCCCAGACUCCUACGGGAGGCAGCAGUAGGGAAUCUUCGGCAAUGGGGGCAACCCUGACCGAGCAACGCCGCGUGAGUGAAGUAGGUUUUCGGAUCGUAAAGCUCUGUUGUAAGUCAAGAACGAGUGUGAGAGUGGAAAGUUCACACUGUGACGGUAGCUUACCAGAAAGGGACGGCUAACUACGUGCCAGCCGCCGCAGUAA
rnacentral:rRNA from 1 species